rnacentral:lncRNA from 1 species
AAACGGAACUCCUUAAAGCAAAAGAAAAAAGUGGAAAACAAAGAGAGACCCUGUGGAAAGAUGCCGAAGCAUUCUGUGACACGUAUCCCCUUUUAAUCUGUUCUUCUUUUGCUUGUUUGGAGAUUAGUCCUUUCAAUCCCGGGGGAAGGAUGGGGAGACUCUUUCCGCAUAAGUGCUGAGGUAGGCCUUCCCUUGACAUCAUAACGAGCUCCUCCUUUCAUAAUGAUUUUGGGAAAGAAAAUAUGACGGACAAUGAAUGUGUUGUGUUGUUAAGAUUCUAUAUAUCUAAUCCUUAAUUAGUGCAUCAGUACAAAAGAAUGAUGUUACAUCAAUAGGAAGAGCCUUUUGUUCUGUUUUGAAGGUAGGACCAUCAGGACCUACAAGAAGCAACACACAGUUGUCGCGUUUGGUAUGAGUGGGCCAUUUCCACUCACUGCCUAUGUGAAAAGGACAUCCAAUAGUAACGAAGCUGAUGCCUACGAAUGGAAUAUAUACACUUGAAAAGCACAUAUAUUAUAUUCCUCUUUACACAUUCCAUUAAAAAUAUGGUUUUGAAGUUCCCUGAAACCAAUAGAGAUCUACUUUCUUGUAUGUGGUAAGCAGGUGAAGGUUGAAAAUCUUGUCUUGAUGAUGGGAAGCUCGAAGAAGCUCCAUAUGUUCAAGUGUCAGGGAUGGAGAGUCGCGCACUGCAGCUCUGCUGUUACAUCGGUUAGUAUUGAAAGAAGAGCACCCGUUAAUUGUUUUCAAGGACUUUAUAUUGCUAGGCAGUUAUAUUGGAGGUUAAAGUCACGGUGGAGGCAACUUUUGUCAUGGCGGAGAAGCUCAGUCCGCUUUAGCUAUGAUCCUUACAGCUACUCUCAGAAUUUUGAUGAUGGUUGCUCUAAGGAACACCCAUCACCUUUAGCUCCUCAGUAAUUUUCAUCUUUUUCUUAGAGCAUUAUAAUCAACAAGUAACGAAAGGGUUCCGGCUUCAGUUCCCUGCUGACGCAUGAAGAACGGCAGAUUGCUCCUCCUCUCAGGGGUCGUUGGUUGGAAUACGAUUUAUACCGGUAUAAGUUAUAUUGAGAUAAGUUGUGUUGGGAUUGUUGUUUAUCCAUUGUUUGGUAUGCUGUAUUAAGAAUGACAAUUGCAUAAUUUCUAAGAACAAGGUAUAAGUUAUACUAGUGUUAAUUACCCCACCUUCUAUAAAGUAUAAGCUAUCCCAGUGUUAAAAUUAACACCGAGAUAACUUAUACCUGGUUUGCUAACCAAACAGAGUAUUAAGGUGGUAUUAAAUUUUUAUACCACCAUUAUACCUUCUUAUACCUCAUACCAAACGACCCCUUAAUAUCAGGACUUCACCGGUAAAACAAUUUGGCAAGUUGGGUAGAAAAUUUGGUGAUGUUUCCAUUACAUAAAGUUUUACAUACAGCAUAAUUUUCUCAAUUUAUCCACUUGAGUACUAUAAAUUUCUCUGUACUUUGGUCUUAUAUAUUGAUUCUGUAGUUAGAUCUGAAAAUAUAUGUAAAUGUUUAAAAGUGGAGACUUUCGCAUUCACAGCUUAAUACUGAAUCAGAGCUAGUUGAACUAUGGCACUAGUAAAUUUUCUGGCUGAAAUAGUUUGACAAUGCAAAUUAAGCUCCAUUUCUCCUUUUUAGCACAGUAUUAAACUUUUCGAUGAACUUUAUCAAAAGAAAGUGGCAAAUGUGGCCCUCCGCUUUAUCUUGUCAGUUUUUUUUUUACCCAAGGCGCAUCUGCAGCGUUUGAUUUACUUUUUGAUUUUGAAUUGCAUUCGAUAAGAUUAUCGAUGGGAAAAUGAGAGGAAAUUAUGCAGAAUAUGUGUCUUGCAUUCAAUUGUUUAUGGGUGCUUUUUACACCUUUCAUUUCGUCACUCCCUACCACCAAACAAUUAAUACCUAAGAUAAAAAAAUCUUCUUGUUGGUCAUUUUUAGUAUUAUCAUCAUAUACACUUACAUAUUUUGUUUGAUAUAAACACCAAAUAUAAACAGAACAAAUGGGUGGCUUUUACACCUUUCUUUCUUUCAUUCCCUCUCCCUACCACUAAACGACCUAACUCUGCCUAAAAUGAUUAUUCUUUAUGACUUGCCUAAUUCUACACCUUCCUUUUACUCAUCAACAUUAUCUUUUUUUUCUUCUAUGAAAGUUACAAGUAAUUUAUAGUGUUUUGCAAAAAAAAAACAAAAAAACUAUGCGUGUUUGCAAAUGUUAUGCAUGUCCAAAUCUCUGACUCUUCUGUGGUCUAUAUAAUUUUUCUUCCUUUUACAGAAAGACAUAUUGACGUGAGUUAUUACCGUGAGAUUUUUAAUUAAAGAUUUCGUGAGAAAAAGAAGUUAGACAUGGAUUACCAUCCACAUGUUUCUAUCAUCCUUUUGAUCAUAAUACUAGGUAAUGGGUAUACUAGAUACUUUCUGAGCCUACCUGCCUGCCUGCUUCAGUCCAAACGGGUGAGUGUGACAAUCGUUAAUGGAGCCUAAUUUCACAAUCCCCUAUUACAUCAUGUUCAAAUUGGUCCACAAUAAGUGAUCAAUUUACUUUUUUAUUUUGGUCCAAAAUAAAUGUUCAUUUAUAUAAUCAAGAAAGAAUUCAAUUUAUUUUUACAAAAUUACAUUUAUGUACAUAUCCCUAAAAAGUUUUCUUACUCCUUACAUUAAAUAUUUUUGAUUAAUGGUAGUUUAAUCAUACUAGGCUUUUUGUAUAAAAUUUAGUAUUUUCUUAAUGAGCGUGUCAAAAGGGAAUUGGUCACUUAUUGUGGAGCGGAGGGAAUAAUUAAGAUUGACUUUUUAUUAGGGAAAUUUUCGUUCCUAUACCACAUAGGAAACUAUAUUACCAAAUAUGUUCAUAGUUUGCAUAUUACCCGCCAUGCUAAUAGUAUUUCUACAAGAUAUAGACAAUUCAUUAAAUAAGGAAUCAUUGUAGCUGUAGGCUUCCUUAUUUAGGCGCGCUAAUAUUGGGGAAUUAAAUAUUCUUCCAGAUAUUUAACUACGCAAAUCACACAUUAAUAUUAUCGGUUGUUUCAAUUCAAAAUUUAGCGACUCUGUUUUUGCGAUACACUGUGUUUCAACAUUUUUUCUGAUUUCACAAAUCAAAAACGAUUAAAUCUUCUACAAUUCUUCUGCAACAAAUGCAAUUAUGUCCAAAAUCCCAAUUAUGCUACAACUGAAUGUGAAUUGGGAUAGUUAUAGGAGAUUUAGAGAAUUUCAGGUCGAUGGCAUUGUAGUCGAUGAGGAUGCGAGUUAUAGUCUAUUGAUUUCUACAAUAGCACAGCAAUUAAUGAUUGAUACAUCCGAAAAAAUUAUAGAAAUCAAAUACAAAAGCAAAGGAAAAGAGAGCAGCCAAUUCCACCAUUGACAACCAUUAAAAAGCUUUGAAGCUUUGAAUUCGAAUUUGGGUUUUCAAAAAUCAUUAUUUGUUUGGAUUGAGUGUUGUUGAAAAUAAUUGGGAAUAUGGUUUGGAGUUUAUAUCUCAAUUUUGAGGGGUUUUGGUGAAGAUUAUACUUGAUUUUUGCUGAAUUUCAUAUUGAAACUCGAAGAAGAAGAAGAAAAAAAAGACAUGACAUACAUUAUAUUGCAGAAAUUGUAGAAAAAUUGUAGACUGCUGUUUAUUUAUUUUUCUUUUAUUCAUUUAACUAUUGUAUGAAGGUUGAACAAUAUUGUAUAAAAAUUAUAUUUAAGUGGUAUUAUAUUGUAGUUGUGUAUACAUGAAGACUAAAAAGAAAAAUAAAAACUUAGGAUCAUAUCCGCUAUGUAUAACUGUUCGCGAUUUCAAUAUGGAAUCGAGUAUCACNNNNNNNNNNNNNNNNNNNNNNNNNNNNNNNNNNNNNNNNNNNNNNNNNNNNNNNNNNNNNNNNNNNNNNNNNNNNNNNNNNNNNNNNNNNNNNNNNNNNNNNNNNNNNNNNNNNNNNNNNNNNNNNNNNNNNNNNNNNNNNNNNNNNNNNNNNNNNNNNNNNNNNNNNNNNNNNNNNNNNNNNNNNNNNNNNNNNNNNNNNNNNNNNNNNNNNNNNNNNNNNNNNNNNNNNNNNNNNNNNNNNNNNNNNNNNNNNNNNNNNNNNNNNNNNNNNNNNNNNNNNNNNNNNNNNNNNNNNNNNNNNNNNNNNNNNNNNNNNNNNNNNNNNNNNNNNNNNNNNNNNNNNNNNNNNNNNNNNNNNNNNNNNNNNNNNNNNNNNNNNNNNNNNNNNNNNNNNNNNNNNNNNNNNNNNNNNNNNNNNNNNNNNNNNNNNNNNNUUGUUUGCAACAACAUCCAAUCCAAACAAACAAAUGUCUUUUGAAAACCCAAAUUCGAAUUCAAAGCUUCAAAGCUUUUUAGUGGUUGUCAAUGGUGGAGGGGUUACAGAUUUUCGUUGGUUUUAGAAGAGGAAAUCGUGGGGGAUUGAAGAGAAAAUCGUGGGGUGUGGUUUGAUACGUGAGUUAGGUGGUGAGAUUUGGAGAGAGAAACUUGGGGGAGUGAGAAUAUACGGUUGAGUAAAAUUAGGAGACUAAUUAAUACCAUUAAAAUCCUAAAAUGGUACAUAAAUGAUAAUUAGGUAUAUAGAAGGUAAUUAUAUUAAACGUUAAGCAUGAAGGGUAAUAUAGUUUAGUAUAUGGCAUAUGAAUUAAAAAAUUUCAUUUUAUUAAGGUAAAAGGGCAAAGAAUAAAUGAAGUAGAAUUAAGACAAUAAAUCAUGUGACAAAAGUGACGGGUAUAUGUUAGCCCCACCUACAAAUUUCCAUGACUAUAAUAGAUAUUGAAUGAUUAAAGUGAAAAAAGUUGAGCUGUAUUCGUCAAACAUGAAGUUGUUCUUUUCCAAUAAGUAGAGCAACAUCUACCCCAUGUCACAUGUGAUGCAUCAUUAACACUUUUGCUAAUCCCUAAGAAAUUAAAUUUUAAUUAUUUGUGAAUCACUCAAAUAUUCUUCUGAAUUUUUUCUCUCAAUAUUUCGAUAGUAAUAAUAUUUUCUUAUACACACUUUUCACUCCACAAUGGGAAGAAAACUAGUGUUUUUUCUGAUUCUCAGAAGCCUAUUGAUUGGCUUGGGAGAAGCAGAUCAUUGGAACAUCUUGAAUUCAAUAAAAAAAGACCAGAAAUGUGGUUGGUGUUAAAACAAGUUUGAAGGCAGACCAAACUUUGUUUUAUUAUCGCAAAUCAUAAUCCUCAACAUAAAUAAAUUUGGUACAAAAUUAUUAUUUUUAUAAUAAACUACAUAAUACACUAUCACAUGGCCGAGAAGGCAAAACAACAUUAUUACAAAAUAAUAAAUGGUGGGCUCUUUUGUAAAAUAUAAAAGUUUGGGAUAAUUUUUAAAAAGUGUAAUAGUGAUAUUUUGGGUCAAAACAAGCUCUUGAGUUGAUUUUGGGAUUUGAGUUUUGAGAUUUGAAAAUUUACCAAACAUGUAUUUGAAAUACAUUUAUCAUGGUAGCGGUAAUGAUGACAAUAGUUGUGGAGGGAAAGAAAAUUUUAGUGGUAGAAAAAAAAAAUAGAAGGGAGGGGUAAAAUGGGUUAGGAGCGCUGAGCAAUAUGUAACACCCACCUCAUCAAAUGUCAGUGCUACAUAGGAUUAGAUGUCUAUAUUGGACAAACUUAACGGAAGAGGAGUAUAUUUGAACCAAUAAUAAUACAGCAAGAAUAUAUUUGAACCCAAAAUAUAAUGAAAAGUAUAUUUAAACCUUACAUGAGUAUAUUUGGCUCAGAUACUAUAGACCGUCGAUAAUAUCUGUUUGUUUUUCUUUAACUUACUAAGAGGAAUGAUUCUUGUUAAUUUUAUUUUUAAUUUGUCCUGGGAUGAAAGUAAGGGAGAGAAGCUGAACCUAUCUAGUUUCUAAGGGUGGAUGAAAGAGACAAAUGCACCAGCAGUAAAGCAUGGUCUUAAACUCUAUGAUGAGAUCAAAGCUAAGGGCUAUAAAGCUUUCUUGAUCUCUAGCAGAAGAGAAUGCCUAAGGGAUGCCACUGUUGACAACCUAAUCAAGGUUGGUUACCACGGAUGGUCUUAUCUCAUCUUGAGGUACAUCUUUCUUUAAAAAUUCAUUCUUUUAAUUUCUAGAUAGAUUUUAACUUAUAGGGUUAAUUUCACUAAUUGUCAUCCAAUUAUCUUUCAAUUUCACUAAAGUCACUAAAAUAUUUUUUAUCACUUAAAAGUAACUAAACUUUAUCAUUGUCACUUAAAAGUCAUUUUGGCUCAAACUCUUACCAUAAAUAUGACAUGACAUAAAAUAAUUAAAAAUAUCAAAAAUUAAAUACAACAUAAGCUUAAAUGGAUCAUACCCACUUUAGACUCAUUUCUCCCUUAAUGUUAUUUGACCCAUAACCCAAAUGAUUUCGAUAAAAAAAGAUAUUAAAUUCCACAUUAGUUUAAAAUGAUAAUCCUAUACUACAAAAUUCUUGCAUUUUCUUUACAUAAUGCCCAUUUAUAAUUAUUCUAUACUAAAAAAAUUAUCUUGUUUGUAUGCACCAUCUAAGUUGUUUUAUAACUCUACUGAAGUAAAAAUACUACUGUAUCCAACUCACAUAACAUAUUUAUAAUUUUUUAGUGAAGUUAAAAUAGUAUUGUAUUCAUCUCACAUAACAUAUUAAGGUAUCAUAGUCACACAAGAAUAAUAAGGCUAAUAAGAGUAUAUUUUCACAAUGAACAAACAAUUACUGACAACCUAUUGCAAUUGUUUAGACAAAAGAAAUUUGUAUAACAUAUUAAUGUAUCAUAAGCACACAAGAAUAAUAAAGCUAAUAAGAGUCCAUUUUCACAAUGAACACAUAAUUACAAACAAUAUAUUGCAAUUGUUUAGACAAACGGAAAAUUGUAUCUUACGAUAAAACUACAUAAAAAAAAUCACAAGACCUAAUUUUAUUAAGUGUAUGUUUUUCCCCCUAUUGAAGCCCAUUUGGGUUAUGGGUCAAAUCACAUUAAGGGAGAAAUGAAUCUAAAGUGGGUAUGGUCCAUUUAAGCUUAUGUGGCAUGUUUUGGAUUUUUUCCAUUAAAUUUUGUGACAUGCCAUAUUUAUGGUAGGAGUUUGAGCAAAAAUGACUUUUAAGACAUGAUAAAGUUUAGUUACUUUUAAGUGACAAAAAAUAGUUGAGUGACUUUAGUGAAAUUGAAAGAUAGUUGAAUGACUAUCAGUGAAAUUAACCCAUACUGACAGUAUAAAGAAUGUUUACAUUAUUCUAAUCGGAUAUAAUGGGUUAUUAAAUGUAUUUUGAGUUUACCAAAUUAGAAUAACUAUAGACAAUCCCCGUACUUUUAGGUGAUCUUAACAUGAUGGUAUUAAAAAAACUGUACAUUACCACUGCACAGAGGUUAAUUUUUUUUUCUAUAUUUUGAGCUCUGAUUAUUUACGGGCAUUUAGGGGUCUUGAGGAUGAACAUAGAGGAGUACAAAACUAUAAAGCAGAGGCAAGGAAACAACUGGUGAAUGAAGGUUACCGUAUAUAUAUCCGCUGGGCUAAAGAAGAAGUGAAGGAAAGGGUCCAGUGGCUAUUUUGAAGAUCUGAAAAUAGUUCUGUUAUUUUCAUUUGAGUCCUUUUAGAUUUAGUAGUCUUUUAAAUUUCCUAAAGUUGAUGUUUUCUAUAACAACACGUGUAUUGUCCUUGGCAAUUGUACUGUUAGAAUAGUACCUAGUCUAUCAUGUUUUAAUUGGUGCAGUACAUUAGCCACAGCUGGUGAAAACAGUAGUGUAAAAAGGCAUCUUUUGGAAUGAAAAUCUUUCUUUAAAUUUUCUGUCAUUUAUUUUCUUAAACAAUUCAUCUUUCCAGUAGCUGUUACGCUACAAUUGGUAGGCUUUCCGCCAGAAUUCUUUCAAAAAUGGUAGAUAAGGAUAAAACAAUUGAUGAUGGUUGGAAAAAGAUAGAGCUUCAAUUACAAGCUUUUAUGAGUGAAUCACAGAAAAGAAUGGAGGUCUUGGAGAAAAGCCAAGCCAGUUUGAAUGCUGAUGUAGCACAAAGGCAGGAGGAAAACAAUGGAUGUUUAGAUAUGGUAUUAAGCCAAAUGGAGUCCGAAAGAAGGUUAGAUUGGACUGCUUCUGGUAGGUUUGGGUGAUUCACCAGCACCAAGAGGAGAAUCUUCAGUAGGAGGAAGUUUCGGACCAACUCAGUCACCAGUGACUCCAGCUUCUUCUUUCGCUGCAAGGGGUAUGUCCUUCACUGCAGCUCCCCUCAAUCCCAAUAUAUCCUUGCCUAGAAGUCAGUUUCUAUCUUCUUCUUUAUAUCCCCCAGCCCCCAUGUCUCUUACCAACCCAGCUAUAAGCACCAAUUUUCAAACCCAGUUGUGUCAACAAAUUUCACAAAAACAUACCCCAGCACUUAUGUUAACCCUGUUACCACCCAAGGAUAGUAUGUACCCACCACUUUCCUUCCUCCUUUAGCUUACCAGGCUAUUAUGAAUCCUUUUUUUGGGCAACCCAACUCACAAAACAAUAUUCCAACGAACUCCUUGACACCAAACACAAAUAACACCUUCCGAGGGCCAAAGGUUAAGCUAACAUUCCCUGAGUUUGAUAGUAAAAAUCCCUGAGGAUGGAUUAUACCAAAUUCCUCCAGUUGAUAAGAUGAAUUAUGUUGCUGUCCAUAUAAAGGAAAAGAUGGAUACUUGGUUUGAUGUGUACAUGAUGGAACAUGGAGGGGUUAUAUCCUGGGAAAACUUUUGCUUGGAUGUGUGCCGUAGGUAUGGUAACAUUAGGCCCAUGGACAUUGUUAUUGAGUUCAAUAGGUUGCAACAUUGUGCUGAUGUAGAGAGUUACUUUAACAAGUUUGAAGAAUUAAGAUUCUACUUAUUAAUAGUUAACCCUUCACUCAAUGAAGCUUAUUUUGUAUAUUGCUUUGUUGGUGGGUUGAAAUCUAAUUUAGAACCAACGGUGAGGGCCUCAAAUCCUCAAACAAUGAUGGAUACAGUCGAAAUAGCCAAACUUCAUGAGAAAAAUCUUGCAACCAUAUACAAGAAGGUUCAAACACCCAGAAAUUCAAACACCACACCAAGAAUCACUUAUCCUCCAAGACCAAAAGCAUCGGUAACCCACGUACCAAA